UACAGAGGUCUCAAGCGUUGUUCGGAUUCAUUGGGCGUAAAGGGUGCGUAGGCGGUGCGGUAAGUCACCUGUGAAAUCUCCUGGCUCAACUGGGAGCUUGCAGGCGAAACUGCCGUGCUGGAGUUUGGGAGAGGGAUGCGGAAUUCCAGGUGUAGCGGUGAAAUGCGUAGAUAUCUGGAGGAACACCGGUGGCGAAGGCGGCAUCCUGGACCAACACUGACGCUGAUGAGCGAAAGCCAGGGGAGCAAACGGG
rnacentral:rRNA from 1 species